rnacentral:rRNA from 1 species
GAUGAACGCUAGCUACAGGCUUAACACAUGCAAGUCGAGGGGCAGCAUGGUCUUAGCUUGCUAAGGCUGAUGGCGACCGGCGCACGGGUGAGUAACACGUAUCCAACCUGCCGUCUACUCUUGGCCAGCCUUCUGAAAGGAAGAUUAAUCCAGGAUGGGAUCAUGAGUUCACAUGUCCGCAUGAUUAAAGGUAUUUUCCGGUAGACGAUGGGGAUGCGUUCCAUUAGAUAGUAGGCGGGGUAACGGCCCACCUAGUCAACGAUGGAUAGGGGUUCUGAGAGGAAGGUCCCCCACAUUGGAACUGAGACACGGUCCAAACUCCUACGGGAGGCAGCAGUGAGGAAUAUUGGUCAAUGGGCGAUGGCCUGAACCAGCCAAGUAGCGUGAAGGAUGACUGCCCUAUGGGUUGUAAACUUCUUUUAUAAAGGAAUAAAGUCGGGUAUGCAUACCCGUUUGCAUGUACUUUAUGAAUAAGGAUCGGCUAACUCCGUGCCAGCAGCCGCGGUAAUACGGAGGAUCCGAGCGUUAUCCGGAUUUAUUGGGUUUAAAGGGAGCGUAGAUGGAUGUUUAAGUCAGUUGUGAAAGUUUGCGGCUCAACCGUAAAAUUGCAGUUGAUACUGGAUGUCUUGAGUGCAGUUGAGGCAGGCGGAAUUCGUGGUGUAGCGGUGAAAUGCUUAGAUAUCACGAAGAACUCCGAUUGCGAAGGCAGCCUGCUAAGCUGCAACUGACAUUGAGGCUCGAAAGUGUGGGUAUCAAACAGGAUUAGAUA